rnacentral:siRNA from 1 species
UCGGUUUCGGUUCGAGUUUUCAGG